rnacentral:misc_RNA from 1 species
GUGAAUCAUCAAAUCUUUGAACGCAAAUUGCACUCUUUUUGGAGAGUAUGCCUGUUUGAGGGUCAGUAAUAAUAAAAUCGGGGUGUUGCUUUCUUUGUGACGUACCGGUGAUUGUGCUACUUUUAACUCUCGGGUUUAAGAUGCUUAAAAUUGAACUUUUUUGCGCACUUUUAGACGUACAUAAAUUUAUAUUAUAUUUUUAUCUGUUUCCAAUUAUCUAUUAGGUGCGAUUAUGUUAUAUGAUUUCGUGCCAAUAACUUCUUAUCUUUUGACCUUAAAUCAGUAA